GUAGCCCCCGAUUGUACUGUACACUGGUACGCAGCAGUUAUAAAAACAUCACUGUGAACAGGGCUCACGUACCAGUCGCAUUCAGUCGUUCUACAAUAUCGGAUACAAAAAAAUGAAGGUCUUCGUCCUUGCUGCUUUAGUGACUGUCGUUUCAUGCCAACCGCCUUAUGUUCAACACAAUCACCUUCAAGAGGGAUACCAAGAGCAGUAUUCUCUUGAAGAUUAUUAUAAACCAGUCUAUCUGUACGAACGGCCGUAUUAUGGUUAUCACGCCCCAGAAAAUCAACCUGCUUCGAUUAAACAAAUUAUUCAUUUUAUCAAGAAAUUUCAUUCACUGCGAAGACCGUAGGCUAUAUUACUGAUCUCCUUUUCUGUUGUUUUUAAAGCUGUUUUAUGUUUGUGCAUAAUAAAGAUUUUGUGUAGCGUGAAUCGAAAAUUUGUUUUGGAAAAAAGUAGACGUGAACGCCAAACAAAA